GAUGAACGCUGGCGGCGUGCUUAACACAUGCAAGUCGAACGGAAAGGCCCUGCUUUUGCGGGGCUCUCGUGUGGCGAGCGGGUGUGUAACACGUGAGUAUCCCGCCCUUGACUUUGUGAUAUCUUCAGGAAACUGGGGCUAAUACCGGAUAGGAGCUCCUGCAGCAUGGGGGUGGUUGGAAAGUUUCGGCGGUUGUGGUUGGACUCGCGGCUUAUCAGCUUGUUGGUGGGGUAGUUGCUUACCAAGCCUUUGACGGGUAGCCGGCCUGAGAGGGUGUACGACCACAUCGGGACUGAGAUAGGACGCAGAAGCAGACGGGCGGCAGCAGUGGGGAAUAGUGCAAAAUGGGCGGGAGGCUGAUGCGACGACGCUCCGUGCGUGAUGAAGGUCUUCGGGUUGUAAAGCGCUUUCGUCUAUGACGAUGCGUGAGUGACGGUAAUAGGUAAAGAAGCACCGGCUAACUACGUG
rnacentral:rRNA from 1 species